ACCUAAUAGAUACCCUGGUAGUCCACGCCCUAAACGAUGCGAACUGGAUGUUGGGUACAUUACGGUACUCAGUGUCGAAAGCUAAACGCGUUGAGUUCGCCGCCUGGGGAGUACGGUCGCAAGACUGAAACUCAAAGGAAUUGACGGGGGCCCGGCACAAGCGGUGGAGUAUGUGGUUUAAAUUUCGAUGCAACGCGAAGAACCUUACCUGGCCUUGACAUCUGUCGAAUCCUGCAGAGAUGCGGGAGGUGCCGCAAGGAACGGACAAGACAGGUGCUGCAUGGCUGUCGUCAGCUCGUGUCGUGAGAUGUUGGGUUUAAGUCCCGCAACGAGCGCAACCCUUCGUCCCUAGUUGCCAGCACAUCAUGGUGGGAACUCUAGGGAGACUGCCGGUGACAAACCGGAGGAAGGUGGGGAUGACGUCAAGUCCUCAU
rnacentral:rRNA from 1 species